CUGUGGAAAACAGGGCUUCAAUUAGAAGACAAAAGGGUUGCUUUCAUGAGGAUUUUGUGAUACAUUGGAGCACGGAUGGCGUGUUUUUUUGUUUUGUUUUGUUUUUUGUUUUCUUUAAUGACCGAGUAACAAAGGGCAACAUACUGAGGAAGGUGCGUUUUCUCCUAAUUACUCCAUGAGGCAAUGUGGUUCUAGAGGAGUGAAAGCUAAAUGUGCUGCCAUUUUGGCACCUCACAGGUUUGCAACUUUGGAAUGUUCUAGAAAAAUAUCAACAACGGUCUCAUGAAGAUUGGCAGAGAACAAGGAGACACUCUUACAUGGUAGAACCCGUUAUGAGCUCAUAAAAGCCCCCACAAAAUAACAGAGAAGAAACUGAGUGAUACCAGAAGUAACUGAGAGAGACUUGGAACAGAGGGUCUGAAGACUUGUGUUAUGGAGGAAAAUAUAAAAUCAGCCACUGAAAUGUGACUUAUUGCUAUUAAUGUCAACUUGUUUUCUCACAGAUUAUUGGGGUACAGUGACCACCUGCUACAUAAGUGUCAGUAUUCCUUAGACGAGAGCCCCCACUAAAGCAACAAAGCAAAAACAGCCAGAAGGAUAAGCCAGGACCUGAGAUUGCCUUCCUGGGCAUGAGAGAGUGAUUGGUCAGUGAUGGUGACUCAUCAAAGUGAAAAUGACGAGUAGUGGUGACCCCAAAACAGAAGGCAGCUACGUUGUAAGGAAAGAGCCCUGGACGGCUUUGGAAAAUCCAGACCCCUGGGAAGAGGAUAGCUAAAUGUCAGGAGCCUCAGAGGGGUUUUUGGCACCUAAGAGAAGAUGAAAAUGUACCUUCACCUUGACCAGUAGUGGUCAUCUCUCCACACAAAUUGAUUUAACACGCUCCAUAUUCUCUAGAGCAGGAAUAACUUGAGAUUCCCAGAGCCAUACUCAAACUGCAUGCAAGUCUGAAACACAUUUUCCCCAUAACCCUCAGGGCAGUGAGGAUCAAUGGGCCCACCUGCUUUUUCUACUACUUUGUUAUCACAUCUGAUAAAACCUUGAGGGCUCCUGACUGCCCAGUCACCUCCAGGAGAGACUGCAACUUGAGCUCAGAGGACUGAGAGUCACUUCUUAUUUGCCAUUAAUUUGUAUUUGUUUAGUGUGCCAGUCAUGGUAAUCAUCUUAAGUUCAAGGUUUUUGCUUGUGGUUAGAAAGGAAAGCUAUCGUUAAGGAUGUGGUCAUUCUAAAUUAAAUCUUUAAUUCUUUUUUUGAAGUCUGGUGUUAUACAGUUACCUGUCACUCAAGGAAAGGGGGAAUGGGAAAAGGAAAUGAACAAGGGGGAGGGAGGGAGAAAAGGAAAAGUAUUAGUGGGAAAGCCAUAUGUGAUUGUACCUGGAGCUAUAGAGAACUUUCUCUCAAAGUACCACAGACUGAAUUGUAUAUGACUCUGUAAGUUUCGACAUUUUGCACACAAGUGUGAAUAUGCUGCGUAGUAAUAUUCUUACAUUCAUAGUAUUCUUAUAUUUUAUAUGAACUUUUGUGGGGCUAAAAGUAUUUCACAUUUCAAAGAAGACUUUUCUGGCAUUCUGUUCAAUUUAGUUAAAAUACUCAGCUAACCAUUUCAAACUUCCACAAAAGAAAUUCAAUAUGCAAAAACAUAUUUGAUUUUCACUAUUUACAUUGGCUCUGACUGUGUGUACCACUAGGGUGGGGGAAUGGGAGGAAGCAGGAUUUCCACAGUUGGCUCUUUAUAAGGUUCUGGUGAACCAGACCAGAUUAAACAUUAAAUCACCUUUGAUCAUUCUCACCCUAACGUUUUCCACAUUCAAACAGAACCUUCAGCUAACCAAAGAAAUCUACAUAUUUUUUGUGCUUUGAUGACAUCUAAGCAUAUGUGUAACUAAUCAUUUACUACUGAUUCUCAAAAAAUCUUUUAGGCCACAUCUAGGUAUCUAAACAACUGGAGUUUUCUUUAUUUUUUUUUAAUUUUGUGGGUACAUAGUAGGUGUAUAUAUUUAUGGUGUACAUGAGAUGUUCUGGUACAGGCAUACAAUGUGAAAUAAGCACAUCAUGGGGAAUGGGGUCUCCAUCCUCUCAAGCGUUU
rnacentral:lncRNA from 10 species